rnacentral:tRNA from 1 species
GCCCGGGUGGUGAAAUUGGUAGACACAAGGGAUUUAAAAUCCCUCGAUCGUAAGAUCGUGCCGGUUCAAGUCCGGCCCGGGCACCA